CAUUGGAGACGUAACGUGGGCCAGAUCGGCUGAACUCGCAAGCCGGGUCUAAGCUAAUUUUCCUGAGCAAGUGGUAGAUAAUCUUCCAGCUGAUAUAUCCACUGGUAUUUACUAUGGUUGGGCCAGUGUUGGAAGUGGAGAUGUCCAUAAGAUGGUGGUGAGCAUAGGAUGGAACCCAUAUUACAAGAAUACGAAGAAGUCUAUGGAAACACAUAUCAUGCAUACCUUCAAAGAGGACUUCUAUGGGGAAAUCCUCAAUGUGGCCAUUGUUGGCUACCUGAGACCAGAAAAGAACUUUGAUUCUUUAGAGUCACUUAUUUCAGCAAUUCAAGGUGAUAUUGAAGAAGCUAAGAAACGACUAGAGUUACCAGAACAUUUGAAAGUCAAAGAAGACAAUUUCUUCCAGGUUUCUAAAAGCAAAAUAAUGAAUGGCCACUGAUGAAAAAUUGCAUUAUGUAUUCAUUCACUGUUUUCUAGUGUUUCUGUGUUUAUUACUGUCCAGCAUCAUCUUGGUUAUAUACUAAAAAUCAAACACUUUACUACAGUUGUGAAUU
rnacentral:sRNA from 1 species